UACGGAGGAUGCGAGCGUUAUCCGGAUUUAUUGGGUUUAAAGGGAGCGUAGACGGGUCGUUAAGUCAGCUGUGAAAGUUUGGGGCUCAACCUUAAAAUUGCAGUUGAUACUGGCGUCCUUGAGUGCGGUUGAGGUGUGCGGAAUUCGUGGUGUAGCGGUGAAAUGCUUAGAUAUCACGAAGAACUCCGAUUGCGAAGGCAGCACACUAAGCCGUAACUGACGUUCAUGCUCGAAAGUGUGGGUAUCAAACAGG
rnacentral:rRNA from 1 species